rnacentral:rRNA from 1 species
CCUACGGGAGGCAGCAGUGGGGAAUAUUGCACAAUGGGGGAAACCCUGAUGCAGCGACGCCGCGUGAAGGAAGAAGUAUCUCGGUAUGUAAACUUCUAUCAGCAGGGAAGAAAAUGACGGUACCUGACUAAGAAGCCCCGGCUAACUACGUGC